GUUGAAACCAGUGAGGGGGAACAGCCCUGAUUCCGUGUUGUGGCCAACCGGCAAGGUGCACAGAAGGCCAAAGCCUUCUACUUCAGUGCAGACCCCUCAGAUCCACAAAAGGCCUCCAAUCAUUGUGAGCUAUGGGCAGGACCAAACAUCUGGGGAUGGAUGGAGCGUCAAUCCAGAGCCUCUCAGCCAG